GACGAACGCUGGCGGCGUGCUUAACACAUGCAAGUCGAGCGAGGCCCCCCCUUCGGGAGGGUGUCCUAGCGGCGAACGGGUGAGUAACACGUGGGCAACCUGCCCUCAGCUCUGGGAUAACUCCGGGAAACCGGGGCUAAUACCGGAUACGACCUCCACGGGCAUCUGCGGAGGUGGAAAGUUUUUCGGCUGAGGAUGGGCCCGCGGCCUAUCAGCUAGUUGGUGGGGUAGUGGCCCACCAAGGCGACGACGGGUAGCCGGCCUGAGAGGGCGACCGGCCACACUGGGACUGAGACACGGCCCAGACUCCUACGGGAGGCAGCAGUGGGGAAUAUUGCGCAAUGGGCGAAAGCCUGACGCAGCGACGCCGCGUGAGGGACGAAGGCCUUCGGGUUGUAAACCUCUUUCAGCAGGGACGAAGCGAAAGUGACGGUACCUGCAGAAGAAGCACCGGCCAACUACGUG
rnacentral:rRNA from 1 species